rnacentral:sRNA from 11 species
GACCCGAAGGCGGUUCUAGAUAUCUCCACAGAAAUCA